GGGGAUUUAGCUCAGUGGUAGAGCGCUUGCCUAGCAAGCGCAAGUCCCUG
rfam:Rattus norvegicus chromosome 9, whole genome shotgun sequence.